CAGGGAAACAACAAUUUGAAUGACUGCAGAUUUCUCAUCAGGAAAUACGGAAGCUAAAAGGAAACUGCUGAACAGAAAACAAUGUCAACUAAAAAUACUACAAGCAAAAAACAUCACUGAGAAUGAAGGUGAGAAAAAGAUGUCCUCAGAGGAAGCAAAAAAUAAGAGAAUCUGUACCUAUCAGAACCACUCUAAAAGAACUAAAAAACGUCUAUCAGAGGAAGUGGAAAUUUGCAGAACGAAAUUUGGAAAAUAAUGAAGGAAGAGCAACAGAAAUGUGGUCUGUUUUGAGACAUGAGUUCGGAAACUUACACUGUGUGGAGCCUGACAAUGAAGCCAACAAUAUGGAAGGCGGGACGAAGACAUGGAGAAACAUUCCUCCCUUGUGAUGUUGUUUGAGCCCAUGAAUCAGCCUCCCUGGAGUCAGUCCCACAUCUCUUCCUUGAACUCGCCUGAGCCAUGACACUCUUGAUAAUUUCACUCCAUUUAAGUUGGACUUUCUGUCAUUUGCCACACAAGACUUUACACAGAUCCAGAGGACAUUGCAGAU
rnacentral:lncRNA from 10 species